CCUACGGGAGGCAGCAGUAGGGAAUCUUCCACAAUGGACGAAAGUCUGAUGGAGCAUUUUCUCCCCAUGGGAAGUUGAUGCAAGAGUUUUCGGAUCGUAAAACUCUGUUGUAAGGGAAGAACAAGUACGUUAGGAAAUGAACGUACCUUGACGGUACCUUAUUAGAAAGCCACGGCUAACUACGUGCCAGCAGCCGCGGUAAUACGUAGGUGGCAAGCGUUGUCCGGAUUUAUUGGGCGUAAAGCGCGCGCAGGCGGUUUCUUAAGUCUGAUGUGAAAGCCCACGGCUUAACCGUGGAGGGUCAUUGGAAACUGGGAGACUUGAGUGCAGAAGAGGAAAGUGGAAUUCCAAGUGUAGCGGUGAAAUGCGUAGAGAUUUGGAGGAACACCAGUGGCGAAGGCGACUUUCUGGUCUGCAACUGACGCUGAGGCGCGAAAGCAUGGGGAGCAAACAGGAUUAGAUACCCUGGUAGUCCAUGCCGUAAACGAUGAGUGCUAAGUGUUAGGGGGUUUCCGCCCCUUAGUGCUGCAGCUAACGCAUUAAGCACUCCGCCUGGUCGACGCAGAUACAUGACCGCAAGCGUUGACAACUCGAACUAGGACAAUUGACGGGGGCCCGCACAAGCGGUGGAGCAUGUGGUUUAAUUCGAAGCAACGCGAAGAACCUUAC
rnacentral:rRNA from 1 species